GCGCAGUGACCCAGUCACCCUGAAUGUCCUCUAUGGUCCAGACCUCCCCAGCAUUUACCCUUCAUUCACCUAUUACCGUUCAGGAGAAAACCUCUACUUGUCCUGCUUCGCGGAAUCUAACCCACCGGCAGAGUAUUUUUGGACAAUUAAUGGGAAGUUUCAGCAAUCAGGACAAAAGCUCUCUAUCCCCCAAAUUACUACAAAGCAUAGAGGGCUCUAUACUUGCUCUGUUCGUAACUCAGCUACUGGCAAGGAAAGCUCCAAAUCCAUGACAGUCGAAGUCUCUGAAGUGGAAUUGCUGGAUCAAAUGCUCCUUCAGGAAUAGGACGUCUUCCUCUCCUUAAUCCAAUAUAGCAGCCGUGAAGUCAUUUCUGUAUUUCAGGAAGACUGGCAGAUGGAGUUUCGCUCUUGUUGCCCAUGCUGGAGUGCAAUGGCACAAUCUUGGCUCACCGCAACCUCCGCCUCCUGUGUUCAAGUGAUUCUCCUGCUUCAGCCUCCCGAGUACUGGGAUUACAGGCAUGCACCAACACGCCCAGCUAAUUUUGUAUUUUCAGUAGAGACAGGGUGUCUUCAUGUUGGUCAGGCUGGUCUCAAACUCCCGACCUCAGGUGAUCCGUACGCCUCAGCCUCUCAAAGUACUGGGAUUACAGGCCUGAGCCACCGCACCUGGCCCACACAUUUUUACAUACCAAGAGAUCCUUUAAUCCACCCAAAGGCUGACGUUAGCUGCAUCUGUAACACAACUUUUUCCUCAAAUAUAUGGAGUUUUUUUUAGGCUUCCACUUCUAUACUUCCCUAUUCUCACUCCCUGUUUUAAUUUAACAUAGACAUGCAAUGCUAGAUAAUAGAAUUGCUCUCUACCAGCUGAACAUUUGGGAGCCUGUGCAGUUUCUGGCCCUUCUUGUUGCACAUAGAUAAAUACAUCCGGUGUUAUAGAGACUCAGUUGUAAAAAUCAAUAAAUGUGCUGCCUGGUU
rnacentral:lncRNA from 1 species